CAGGGCUGGUGAGGAGUGCUCCUGCAUGAUGGAAAUGGGUCCUGAUAGGAGAACACUGGGAACCCAAAUUCAAAUCUGAGCCCUUGAGUCUCUCACUCAUCCUCCACUGAAGAUUAAAAUCCUGGAGCUUCUUACCCAACAGCACCAUGA